rnacentral:rRNA from 2 species
UACGUAGGUGGCAAGCGUUGUCCGGAUUUAUUGGGUUUAAAGGGUGCGUAGGCGGCUUUGUAAGUCAGUGGUGAAAUACGGUAGCUCAACUAUCGAGGUGCCAUUGAUACUGCGGAGCUUGAGUACAGAUGAGGUAGGCGGAAUUGACGGUGUAGCGGUGAAAUGCUUAGAUAUCGUCAAGAACACCUAUAGCGAAGGCAGCUUACUAGGCUGUAACUGACGCUGAGGCACGAAAGUGUGGGGAUCAAACAGG